rnacentral:misc_RNA from 1 species
GAUGAAGAACGCAGCGAAAUGCGAUACGUAAUGUGAAUUGCAGAAUUCAGUGAAUCAUCGAGUCUUUGAACGCACAUUGCGCCCCCUGGUAUUCCGGGGGGCAUGCCUGUCCGAGCGUCAUUGCUGCCCUCAAGCACGGCUUGUGUGUUGGGCCUCCGUCCUCCUCCCGGGGGACGGGCCCGAAAGGCAGCGGCGGCACCGCGUCCGGUCCUCGAGCGUAUGGGGCUUCGUCACCCGCUCUUGUAGGCCCGGCCGGCGCUUGCCGACACAUCAAUCUUUUUUCCAGGUUGAACUCGGAUCAGGUAGGGAUACCCGCUGAACUUAAGCAUAACAAUAAGCGGAGGA